UAGUGGCGGACGGGUUAGUAACGCGUGGGAACAUACCCUUCUCUAGGAAAUAGCCACUGGAAACGGUGAGUAAUACCUUAUACGCCCUUCGGGGGAAAGAUUUAUCGGUGAAGGAUUGGCCCGCGUUAGAUUAGAUAGUUGGUGGGGUAAUGGCCUACCAAGUCUACGAUCUAUAGCUGGUUUGAGAGGAUGAUCAGCAACACUGGGACUGAGACACGGCCCAGACUCCUACGGGAGGCAGCAGUGGGGAAUCUUAGACAAUGGGCGAAAGCCUGAUCUAGCGAUGCCGCGUGUGUGACGAAGGCCUUAGGGUCGUAAAGCACUUUCGCCAAGGAUGAUAAUGACAGUACUUGGUAAAGAAACCCCGGCUAACUCCGUGCCAGCAGCCGCGGUAAUACGGAGGGGGUUAGCGUUGUUCGGAAUUACUGGGCGUAAAGCGCACGUAGGCGGACUAUUAAGUUAGAGGUGAAAUCCCGGGGCUCAACCCCGGAACUGCCUUUAAUACUGGUAGUCUUGAGUUCGAGAGAGGUAAGUGGAAUUCC
rnacentral:rRNA from 1 species